rnacentral:misc_RNA from 1 species
UCCCGGUUGGCCCGGGCAGUCUCGCAUGAAAAAUCCAACAUACGAUAAGGGUUGCGCUCGUUGCGGGACUUAACCCAACAUUUCACAACACGAGCUGACGACGGCCAUGCAGCACCUGUCAUCUGGCUCCCGAAGGCACUCCACUGUUUCCAGCGGAUUCCAGAGAUGUCAAGCCUCGGUAAGGUUUUACGCGUACCGUCAUAUUAAACCACAUCCUCCUCUGCUUGUGCGGGUCCCCGUCAAUUCCUUUGAGUUUUAGCCUUGCGGCCGUACUUCCCAGGCGGCAUACUUAUCGCGUUAGCUUCGUCGCACAAGGGGUCGAUACCCCAUACGACUAGUAUGCAUCGUUUACGGCGUGGACUAC